rnacentral:rRNA from 1 species
GACGAACGCUGGCGGCGCGCCUAACACAUGCAAGUCGAACGAGAGAGAGGGAGCUUGCUUCCUCGAUCGAGUGGCGAACGGGUGAGUAACGCGUGAGGAACCUGCCUCAAAGAGGGGGACAACAGUUGGAAACGACUGCUAAUACCGCAUAAGCCCACGGCUCGGCAUCGAGCAGAGGGAAAAGGAGCAAUCCGCUUUGAGAUGGCCUCGCGUCCGAUUAGCUAGUUGGUGAGGUAACGGCCCACCAAGGCGACGAUCGGUAGCCGGACUGAGAGGUUGAACGGCCACAUUGGGACUGAGACACGGCCCAGACUCCUACGGGAGGCAGCAGUGGGGAAUAUUGCACAAUGGGGGAAACCCUGAUGCAGCGACGCCGCGUGGAGGAAGAAGGUCUUCGGAUUGUAAACUCCUGUUGU